rnacentral:rRNA from 1 species
UACGUAGGGCGCAAGCGUUGUCCGGAAUUAUUGGGCGUAAAGAGCUCGUAGGCGGCUUGUCACGUCGGGUGUGAAAGCCCGGGGCUUAACCCCGGGUCUGCAUUCGAUACGGGCUAGCUAGAGUGUGGUAGGGGAGAUCGGAAUUCCUGGUGUAGCGGUGGAAUGCGCAGAUAUCAGGAGGAACACCGGUGGCGAAGGCGGGUCUCUGGGCAGUAACUGACGCUGAGGAGCGAAAGCGUGGGGAGCGAACGGG